GGGUGUGAGGGCCAGGGUUGAUUUGGCUGAUCUGGCUGGCUAAGCGGGUCCCCUUCCUCCCUCACCACUCCAUGUGCAUCCCUCCCGAAGCUGUGCACUCGGUGGAAGAAGACGACGUCCCAGGUAUAGAAGGAGUGUACAGAGGUCUCCAGUCUUUGGUCCUGGGUAUAUGAUAUCUACGCUCUCCUGCUAGAACCUCAAAACAAGCUCAAGGUCACUACAAGUUUUUGACAGUAGACUUCAUUGCACGUAUGGGCCCUCAAAAACAAGGAGAAGUGUAUGUAGGACCAUUCAGU
rfam:Anolis carolinensis chromosome 4, whole genome shotgun sequence.